rnacentral:rRNA from 1 species
UCAGACGAUGCGUCAUGCAUAUCAAUAAGCGGAGGAAAAGAAACUAACAAGGAUUCCCUUAGUAACGGCGAGUGAAGCGGGAAGAGCUCAAAUUUGAAAUCUUCAAGGUUUUACCUUGACGAAUUGUAGUUUAAAGAAGUGUUUUCUGCUGAAGUUUUGGUAAAAGUUCUUUGGAAUAGGACAUUAUAGAGGGUGAGAAUCCCGUAUUUGACCAUUAUUUUCAGCUUUGUGAUACACUUUCAAAGAGUCGGAUUGUUUGGGAAUGCAGUCCAAAAUGGGUGGUAAAUUUCAUCUAAAGCUAAAUAUUGGCGAGAGACCGAUAGCGAACAAGUACCGUGAGGGAAAGAUGAAAAGAACUUUGAAGAGAGAGUUAAACAGUACGUGAAAUUGUCAAAAGGGAAGCGUUUGACACCAGUGUUGUUUUCUCGAAAAUCAAUUAAAAAUGGCUCGAUUUUGUAUUGCUUGAGACCUUAAAAGCUCACUGUACAUUUUUCGUGUCUUUUUUAAUGCACUUUUCGUUUAACAAGUCAACAUCAGUUUCUUUUGUUGUAAAAGGGUCAUUGGAAGGUGGCUUUCUUUUCGGAGAAAGUGUUUAUAGCCUUUGGCCUCUGCAAUCGAAGAGACUGAGGUCUGCAGCGUAGACUCUUCGGGGUUAGAUACAUUUGUGCUAAGUUAUAGCUUUUUAUAGACAACUUGUUGACUAUAAUUAGUCUUGUAGCUUACUCGCUUAUGCUAUUUUACCUACGCUUAGGAUGUUGAACUACUGAGACAUAGA